AGCAUUGCCCAACGUCUCUAAAGCUUCUCUUUCGCAACUUUAAAACACAAAAAAAAAUUGGAAUAAAAGAAGAAAGAUUGUCAUCAUCGAUAUUGAUGUUUUUUUUGUUUAAAUUGUAAGAUUGUCAUUAGUGACCUAUGAGCUAUGUCUCUAUAUCUCGCAAUCCCUGAAGCUUCCCUUUUGGAAUUCGAAUUUUAAUAAAUCGGCAAGAAAGAAGAAAUCGUCGAAUUAAUUGUGUGAGUUUUCUAUCUGUAUUGAUAUUGAUGUUCUUUCUUGUUUUAAUUGUAAGAUUCCUUGAUGGUUGAAAAUGGGAUUUCCCAUUUCAAGCUUGCUUCACUGUGAUUUCUGGUUUUACUUGUAAGAUUUCUAGAUAGAAAAUGGGACGGGUGGGGGUUGGGGGUUUCCGAUUUCAACAAUUUAAGAUAUUUCCAUCUGAUUUCUAGUUUUACAUGUAAGAUUUCUUGAUGGAAAAUGGGAGGGCUGGAGGUGGGGGUUUCCGAUUUCAAGCUUGCUUCACUGAGAUUUCUGGGUUUACUAUGAACCUUUGGUUUUAAUUGUAUGAUUUCUUGAUCGUUGGAAAUGGGAGGGGUAGUGGUGGGGGUUUCCGAAUUCAAGAAUUUACUAAUAAACUUUUGAACAAGACUGAAAAUCUUAGUUGGUCGAAUCAACUUUGUGAGUUUUCUAUCUUUAUUGAUGUUUACUUCUUGCUUCAAAUCUGUUCUGGUUAUUAUUUUGGAGAUUUUUUGGUUUUAAUUGUUAGAUUUCUUGAUGGUUGAAAAUGGAAGGGGUGGGGGGUGGGGAAUUACUGAAAUGUUUUUGGAAUAAACUUGUAAACAAGACUGAAAAUCAUAGUUCGUCGAAUCAAUUAUGUAAGUGUUCUAUCUAUAUUUCAGCCGUACAAAAAUUCUAAUUUCGUGACUGAUGUUUCCUUCUUGCUUCAUUUCUGUUCUUUCUAUUAUUUUGUACUUCACUAAGAUUUCUGGGUUUACUAUGAACCUUUGGUUUUAAUUGUAAAAUUUCUUGAUCGUUGAAAAUGGGAGGGAUGGGGGAUGGGGGUUUCCGAUUUCAAGAAUUUAGGAUGAAAGUCUCAAUUUUUUUGUUGUUAUCAUAGUCUGUCUUUGUCGUUUAUUGUUACUCUGCUUCUAUUAUGGUUUUCAUUACAUCACCUUUAAAUUUAAUGUUUGAACCACAACUAUGAUUUGUUGAGAGGAAUGGCUACAACAUCAGCUUACCUGAUUCAAGAUCAGAAUAUAAGUAUACACUAUAAUGAUACAAAUUUCAUCUAACAACUGGAAAAUACAUUAGUGUGAUAUACUAUUUCUUAGCAGGGGCUUCUCUGGUGGGAAAUAAUGGUAUCUCAAAGAAAAGAGGAGGAGAGAUUGGUGGAAGAAAGCACUUAAUGAUAUCUCAAAGCCUUCUGCUCUACAAGCAUCAAAGAAAAAUAAUUCCGCAAAUGUGAGGGAAAGAUCUUGAUUCCUCUAGAAACAAAUUUAGUGCUGGAAAAAAAGAGAUAAUUAUUCUAAAGUUUUGGAGAAAAAGGGUGGCAGGAAAGCACUAGCUGAUCUUACAAACUCAACUAAGUCGUCCUUUGUUGCAG
rnacentral:lncRNA from 1 species